rnacentral:rRNA from 1 species
AUUGAACGCUGGCGGCAGGCCUAACACAUGCAAGUCGAACGCGUGGCGGACGGGUGAGCAAUGUCUGGGAAACUGCCUGCGGGAGGGGGAUAACACCUGGGAACGGUAGCUAAUAUCGCACACCCGCAGAUGUGCCCCGAUGGGAUUUGAGUGUUGGGGGGGUAACGGCUCACCAAGGCGACGAUGCCUAGCUGGUCUGAGCGGAUGACCAGCCACACGGGAACGGAGACACGGUCCAGACUCCGACGGGAGGCAGCAGUGGGGAAUAUUGCACAAUGGGCGCAAGCCUGAUGCAGCCAUGCCGCGUGUAUGAAGAAGGCCUUCGGGUUGUAAAGGACUUUCAGCGUGGAGGCGUUACCCGCAGAAGAAGCACCGGCUAACUCCGUGCCAGCAGCCGCGGUAAUUC